UGGGGAAUAUUGCGCAAUGGGCGAAAGCCUGACGCAGCAACACCGCGUGAGGGAUGACGGCCUUCGGGUUGUAAACCUCUUUCAGCUCCGACGAAGCGAAAGUGACGGUAGGAGCAGAAGAAGCACCGGCUAACUACGUGCCAGCAGCCGCGGUAAUACGUAGGGUGCAAGCGUUGUCCGGAAUUAUUGGGCGUAAAGAGCUCGUAGGCGGUCCGUUGCGUCUGCCGUGAAAACCCGGAGCUCAACUCCGGGCCUGCGGUGGAUACGGGCGGACUAGAGUCCGGUAGGGGAGACUGGAAUUCCUGGUGUAGCGGUGGAAUGCGCAGAUAUCAGGAGGAACACCGGUGGCGAAGGCGGGUCUCUGGGCCGGAACUGACGCUGAGGAGCGAAAGCGUGGGGAGCGAACAGGAUUAGAUACCCUGGUAGUCCACGCCGUAAACGAUGUCUACUAGCCGUUGGGGUACUUGAGACCUUAAGUGGCGCAGCUAACGCACUAAGU
rnacentral:rRNA from 1 species